rnacentral:lncRNA from 1 species
GGAAAUAAUUUAACUUAAAAAAUUUGACAAGAGUCACAUAUGAGUUUAGACGUCUAUUUAGGUAAAAUUUAAUUAAAACAAAAUAUUAGUUAUUUAAUUUCAUUAAUGACACAUGUCAAUAGAUCUUUAAAAGUCUAGGAAGAUUAGGAGAGAAAAUGCCUAAGAAUAUUACAUAAAAUGGCUAUAUUACCAAAUCAUCUAGUAUCAACAACGAAAAAAAAUUGAUUUUAUUUAACCUAUCAAAUUGAUUUUUAAUUACUAUGAUCAUAGAUACAUUAUUGUCAUCAUUUUCUUAGUUUACAAGAUCAUAAAAUAUAUUUAGAUAAAGGAUCUAGAAAAAAAAAAGAUUAUGAAAGUAUCAAUAUCACAUCAAAUAAUUAAAAUAUAUAUAUAUUCUCUAGCAUGUCUAGUGGGAUCUUAUUUGAUUCGCAAGACAAAAACUCAUGGCCAUGAGCAAACCUUUGUCAAAAAGAAAGCUUUAGUGAUCUCAUUCUCAUAUGUCAUGACUGUUUUUGGCUGUCACGUGACCUUAUAUAAUAAUAUGCAUAAGUGUUUGUGUGCGUUUUCUAUCAACUUUUGCAGGAGGAGCAGAAAGCUAGCAUUUUCAUUAAGUCACUUUAGUCACCCCCACUAACUUUUGCAAUUUGCAAUUUGCAUAGAGAGACAGAGAUUGAGAUUCGAUUUGAUUAAAUUAAAAAGGAAGCAACAGCAAUGGCGGUACCGCUGAAUUGCCCUUGAAGAUUUACUUGUUAAGGUGAAAAUUUUAUAGGAAAGAGUAGAAAGAGAUCAAGUGGCCACCUCCCUAUAUAUACGUUGGGACUUGGGGUGGCCUAGUUUUACGUUGUCCUAUAACUUUAUUUACAAUUUUACAUUGAAGUUGCUCUUCUUUUUUUUUUUUUGUUGAUAAUUUUCACAAUAUCACAGCAAUUAUAAAGUUAUCGGCUUUAUCAGUUAAGUCCCUCUAUAAGCUAUGAUAAUCUCGUAUCGCCUUUGUGAAGGUGAAAUUUGGAUAUUUAGAUCUAGAAUAGGAUAAAGUUGCUUCUAAAUAUUUGAAAGAAAUUCAUCUUUCACAAUAUAUGGGAGGACUCGAUCAAACAUCUAUUAGAACUUCAUGUAUUAAUUUUAUGAUUGUGUAGUUCGGAUAUCUAGGUUUGAAAUUGAGUUGCAACUAUUUUUAAAUUAUUGGAAGAAAAUUAACCUCCCCAAUGCACAUGAGAGAACUCAAAACUUUGCGAUAAUUAAAAAUCUACUUUAAAAUACCAAUUCCUAGUAACAUGUGUGUGUUAUAUAGAUAUGUGUGUGUGUGUGUGUGGGCGCGCACAUACAUAUGUAUGUAUGUAUUUCAAAUUUGGAGUAAAAGAAAACUUUGAUUUUUUCAGAGAUGGAGAUAGUCGAUUCAUUACCAGAAAAGAAAGGAGUAGAAAGCAAGUAAUAGAAAACAAAAACUAAAGAAAUAAAGUUAAAAGGAGGGACCUUUCUAGUUGUCAACCAAAAAAAAAAAAUCUUCUUAACUUGAUUUUCAUUUUGAUCGGGAAAGAAAUAGACACAUGUUGGGAGAAUGAAUGAGGAAACUAAUUUAAUUUUGGACCCCUACACACUAGAAACUAUUAAAGUUUUGAUGCAUGUAGUGACAUUAUCAGCUUUUCUUGAUACGCAUUGCCCGUACAAAGAUUGUAUAUCAUUGAUCAAGAUAUUUUACAAUAUCUUUCCGUCAAUUUGCCUGGUCUAUAUAAUGUCAGUUGUCUCUUUUGCCAUACUAUCUUCAAAAGAAGGUGGGAAUGAAAAAGAAAAAAAAAAAGCUAGAAAUUGCCUUAUUUU